rnacentral:lncRNA from 1 species
UUCAGACAGUUCACAGUGACACAUUUUUUAGGUGUUUUCAGUCCAUUGCGUUUUAGAAUGAGUCAUUUUUAAGUGUAAAACACAUUUUUAUGUGUUUUCUGGCCAUUGCGCCAUUGCGUUUUACAAAUAAGUCAUUUCUUUGUGUUUUUGGUGCAUUGCGUUUUAGGUAAAACACAUUUUUAUGUGUUUUCUGGCCAUUGCGUU